UACGUAGGGGGCAAGCGUUGUCCGGAUUUAUUGGGCGUAAAGAGCUCGUAGGCGGUUUGGUAAGUCUGGUGUGAAAUCUCCACGCUCAACGUGGAGGGGCCACCCGAUACUGCCAUGACUGGAGUCCGGUAGAGGAGUGUGGAAUUCCCGGUGUAGCGGUGAAAUGCGCAGAUAUCGGGAGGAACACCGGUGGCGAAGGCGGGUCUCUGGGCAGUAACUGACGCUGAGGAGCGAAAGCGUGGGUAGCGAACAGG
rnacentral:rRNA from 1 species